UACGUAGGGGGCAAGCGUUGUCCGGAAUCAUUGGGUGUAAAGGGUGCGUAGGCGGGACGAUAAGUCCGAGGUGAAAGCCCGCAGCUUAACUGCGGAACUGCCUUGGAUACUGUCGACCUUGAGUCCCGGAGGGGUGGCUGGAAUUCCUGGUGUAGCGGUGAAAUGCGUAGAUAUCAGGAGGAACACCGGAGGUGUAGACGGGUCACUGGACGGGUACUGACGCUGAGGCACGAAAGCGUGGGGAGCAAACAGG
rnacentral:rRNA from 1 species